rnacentral:rRNA from 1 species
UGCUUUACACAUGCAAGUCGAACGGCAGCACGGGGCAACCUGGUGGCGAGUGGCGAACGGGUGAGUAAUAUAUCGGAACAUGUCCGGAAGUGGGGGAUAACGUAGCGAAAGUUACGCUAAUACCGCAUAUGCCCCAAGGGGGAAAGGAGGGGAUCGCAAGACCUUUCGCUUUCGGAGUGGCCGAUAUCGGAUUAGCUAGUAGGUGAGGUAAAGGCUCACCUAGGCGACGAUCCGUAGCUGGUCUGAGAGGACGACCAGCCACACUGGAACUGAGACACGGUCCAGACUCCUACGGGAGGCAGCAGUGGGGAAUUUUGGACAAUGGGCGCAAGCCUGAUCCAGCCAUACCGCGUGAGUGAAGAAGGCCUUCGGGUUGUAAAGCUC